AUGGUUCUCACAAAGAAGGAUGGCAAGACAAAAAGGGCCACUCUGCCAUCAACAAGGUGGUGACCUCGUUGAUGAUACACCAUCAACAUUCACAAGCGCGUCCAUGGAGUGGGCUUCAAGAAGUCUGCCCCUUGGGCACUCAAAGAGAUCUGGAAAUUUGCCACGAAGGAGAUGGGAACUCCAGAUUUGCGCAUUGAUACCAGGCCCAACAAAACUGUCUGGGCCAAAGGAAUAAGGAAUGUCCCAUACUGUAACCAUGUGUGGUUGUCCAGAAAAUAUUCUGAGGAUGAAGAUUCACCAAAUAAGCUCUAUACUUCAGUUACCUAUGUACCUGUUACCACUUUCAAAAAUCUGCAGAUAGUCAAUGUGGAUGAGAACUAA
rnacentral:lncRNA from 1 species